UGAGUGAAACAGAUGAUCGCGCCUGUCCGUACGAAAGGGGGCAGGUGAGGAAAGUCCGGGCUUCACAGGGCAGGAUGCCGGAUAACGUCCGGUGGAGGUGACUCCAAGGCAGGUGCAACAGAAAUAUACCGCCGGGAAUUCCCGGUAAGGGUGGAAGGGCAGCUUAAGAGACUACCGCCCUCCCGGUAACGGGAGGGGCACAUGUAAACCCCAUCCGAAGCAAGACCGAAUAGAAAGCGAUACAGCUGCCCGCUGUGCUUUCAGGUGGGUCGCUAGAGACUGUUGGCAACAGCAGUUCCAGAUAGAUGAUCAUCCAACGACAUAACCCGGCUUACCGUUUCGCUCACUUU
rnacentral:RNase_P_RNA from 1 species